rnacentral:rRNA from 1 species
GUAGGUGGCAAGCGUUGUCCGGAAUUAUUGGGCGUAAAGCGCGCGCAGGCGGUUCUUUAAGUCUGAUGUGAAAGCCCACGGCUCAACCGUGGAGGGUCAUUGGAAACUGGAGAACUUGAGUACAGAAGAGGAAAGAGGAAUUCCACGUGUAGCGGUGAAAUGCGUAGGGAUGUGGAGGAACACCAGUGGCGAAGGCGGCUUUCUGGUCUGUAACUGACGCUGAGGCGCGAAAGCGUGGGGAGCAAACAGGGAUUAGAUACCCUGGUAGUCCACGCCGUAAACGAUGAGUGCUAAGUGUUAGGGGGUUUCCCGCCCCUUAGUGCUGCAGCUAACGCAUUAAGCACUCCGCCUGGGGAGUACGGCCGCAAGGCUG